rnacentral:rRNA from 1 species
CUAGGACGAACGCUGGCGGCGUGCCUAACACAUGCAAGUCGAGCGGGGACUUUACGACUGAAUUGAAGACUUCGGUUGAAUAUGAAGAUGUAAAGUUCUAGCGGCGGACGGGUGAGUAACGCGUGAGCAACCUGUCCCUUACAGGGGGAUAACACAGCGAAAGUUGUACUAAUACCGCAUGAGACCACAGAGUGACAUCACUCAGGGGUCAAAGGAGCAAUCCGGUAAGGGGUGGGCUCGCGUCCGAUUAGAUAGUUGGUGAGGUAACGGCCCACCAAGUCGACGAUCGGUAGCCGACCUGAGAGGGUGAUCGGCCACAUUGGGACUGAGACACGGCCCAAACUCCUACGGGAGGCAGCAGUGGGGAAUAUUGGGCAAUGGGGGGAAACCCUGACCCAGCAACGCCGCGUGAGGGAAGAAGGUUUUCGGAUCGUAAACCUCUGUCCUUGGUGAAGAGGAAGAGACGGUAGCCAAGGAGGAAGCCCCGGCUAACUACGUGCCAGCCGCCGC